AACCACACUAUCAAUGAAUGGAUUCAUCCACGAGAUGACGUGGCUGUUUCACAUAGGAUGAGGACAUAGCAUCCUAUUACUUAAUAGGAUAUGCCACAUCAUCAUCCUAGAUGGAACAACCGCAUCAUCUCACGGGUGAAUCCAUUAAUCGAUAGUGUAGUU
rfam:Oryza glumipatula chromosome 4, whole genome shotgun sequence.